GACGAACGCUGGCGGCGUGCCUAAUACAUGCAAGUCGAGCGGACGAAUCGAAAGCUUGCUUUUGAUUCGUUAGCGGCGGACGGGUGAGUAACACGUGGGCAACCUGCCCUGUAGACGGGGAUAACACCGAGAAAUCGGUGCUAAUACCGGAUAACACGACAUGUCGCAUGACGUUUCGUUUAAAGACGGCGCAAGCUGUCGCUACAGGAUGGGCCCGCGGCGCAUUAGCUAGUUGGUGAGGUAACGGCUCACCAAGGCGACGAUGCGUAGCCGACCUGAGAGGGUGAUCGGCCACACUGGGACUGAGACACGGCCCAGACUCCUACGGGAGGCAGCAGUAGGGAAUCUUCCGCAAUGGACGAAAGUCUGACGGAGCAACGACGCGUGAGCGAAGAAGGCCUUCGGGUCGUAAAGCUCUGUUGUUAGGGAAGAACAAGUAACGCAGUAACUGGCGUGACAGUGACGGUACCUAACGAGAAAGCCACGGCUAACUACGUG
rnacentral:rRNA from 1 species